AUUUUUCUCUCUCUUCUUCCAAUCCACGCUUCCCAUAUUUUUAAUUUUUAUUCUUCCUACCUUCCAUGGUGUUUUACUGUUCUUGGGUUCUUCUUCAUUCCCUUUGUUUUCUGCAAAAUGUAUCCUCAUUUUACCCAUUUUUCUGAGUCUAUUCUUCAAAAAAUUUCAUGGGUUGAAUUGAUUAUCAGAUGUUUUUGUUCCAGGUUGCUUUAAUCAUGAUUUAUUCUCUUGUGCUACUCAUCCAUCUUGGAUUUGAAGACAAGCAAUCAUAUUACUUAGCUGCAGGGGUAUGAUGCUGGAAUCUGACAGAAUUUUGGCAAACCACCAUAUAGAAAUCACAGGGCUUUGAGGCUCUUCUGAGUUGCAGGUAUCUUCUGCAAAUGAAACAUAAGGCAAUUAGUUUAUAGGCUUGCUGGCAAGAGCUUUUGUGUUUCUGCUAUAGCUACUUCAUGCGAGAACUGCAGCUCAUGCUUCGUCAAGCUUUUUUGUUAGAGCAAGAUUGAUCAAGUGAUAAAAUUUGCUUACCUUAAGUUCAGAAGCAGCAGAUGACAGCUGGUGGUUGUUCUCUUCCUUCAUUUUGUUGUAUCUUUCAAUCACCAUUUUCAUGCUGAAAGUAGCAUUCAGAAUAUCAAUGUCACUAUUCCUACAGGGAUGAAUGUAGAGAAAUUAAUGUUCAUGGUAAUGCGGGUUUAAUGACACUUUCAAUUAUAUUCCUGCCAUGACACCCCUCCCCUCUCUCUGAGUGAGAUGCUAGCUAACAGGAUGAUCACUGAGGUCUAACAAGAAGAGGUAGCUACCCUAUAGUAACUUCAUUCAGAAACACGGAAAAGAAGGCGGAGCUGAAGAGCUUUCUGCUGCUGCACAAAUUAAUUCAAGGAUACAAGGAUGAUAAACACUAUGGUAUAGCUACAUCAAUGGACGAUGGUUAAAUCAGACUAUGAUGAAUGUGAACGAAAGACUAUAAGUACAUGCUGAGCCACUGAAGAGCAACAUGCUUAAGGAAUGUGAAGGAGGCUCUUUUCUCUUGGCAUGGAAGUAGGGGGUAUUUACCUUUAAGAGAUGUUUAUGAAUAAAAAGUAUGGUUUUAUUUGGACAACAGAUUGGUGUAUGAUUUCAUUAACUUAUUAGCUGUUUUGACCAGUAGAAUACAUUAUUACUUGUACAAAAUUGCUAAUAACAGCUAUCAGCUUUCAGCAAUCUGGUAUGUCAAGAGAGUAUGGACAUAUUUUGUUAUUAAAUGUUCUUCAUCUGACCACUUAUUAAAAUUUUGUCUC